GACGAACGCUGGCGGCGUGCUUAACACAUGCAAGUCGAACGGAAAGGCCCUGCUUUUGUGGGGUGCUCGAGUGGCGAACGGGUGAGUAACACGUGAGUAACCUGCCCUUGACUUUGGGAUAACUUCAGGAAACUGGGGCUAAUACCGGAUAGGAGCUCCUGCUGCAUGGUGGGGGUUGGAAAGUUUCGGCGGUUGGGGAUGGACUCGCGGCUUAUCAGCUUGUUGGUGGGGUAGUGGCUUACCAAGGCUUUGACGGGUAGCCGGCCUGAGAGGGUGGCCGGCCUCAUUGGGACUGAGAGACGGCGCAGACUCCUACGGGAGGCAGCAGUGGGGAAUAUUGCACAAUGGGCGGAAGCCUGAUGCAGCAACGCCGCGUGCGGGAUGACGGCCUUCGGGUGGUAAACCGCUGUCGCCUGUGACGAAGCGUGGGUGACGGUAAUGGGUAAAGAAGCACCGGCUAACUACGUG
rnacentral:rRNA from 1 species